ACCAUUUAGUGGGGAAUAACUGUUGGAAACGACAGCUAAUACCGCAUAAUAUUGCUGGAUAAUUUCCAGUAAUGAAAGGAGCUUUCAAGCUCCGCUGAUUGAUGAGGAUGCGGCGCAUUAGCUAGUUGGUAGGGUAAUGGCCUACCAAGGCAAUGAUGCGUAGCCGAUCUGAGAGGAUGAACGGCCACAUUGGGACUGANACACGGCCCAAACUUCUACGGAAGGCAGCAGUAGGGAAUUUUUCACAAUGGGCGAAAGCCUGAUGGAGCAAUGCCGCGUGACUGAUGAAGGUUUUCGGAUUGNAAAGGUCUGUUGUAAGGGAANAAAUGGUAAAACNNGAAAUGGUUUUAUCUAUGACGGUACCUUACCANAAAGCCACGG
rnacentral:rRNA from 1 species